CCUCCUCCCAGGAUUCGACUGUUCUGAUCAUAGUCUUUUGAUUCUGGUUUGCAGCUUUUUCUUUCCAUUUCUCUGGUGUUGAAUCUCUCCGAGGACAGAAGAGGUUCUUUUAGAGGAUUGGAAUAAGCUGCAGCUUACUUUUACAGAGGAAGAAACUACAGUGGAUGUUGAUUUAAAGGUGUCCAAACAGAUGGAACAACGACUAGAACUUUGCUUGGUAGGAAAGCUUCUGUCCCAUCGUUUCAUCUCAUGUGAGGUAAUACGCAAGUUUUUUUCAUCAGGUAUGGAAAUUGCAAGGCCAAUUGGUUGUGGAGAACCUGGGUAGAAACUUGUUUUUGUUUCGAUUUGGAUCUGAACAAAUACGGAAUAAAGUUUAUCGAAUUUGACCGUGGUCUUUUGAUAAAUCUCUCCUCGUUCUCCAGAAGCCACUUAAUUUGAUUAAACCAUCAGAAUUGGAAUUCAAAUUAGUGGCAUUUUGGUCACACUUCUACAAUUUGCCGAUGCCUUUCAUGAACAAAACGAUGGCUUCUCAUCUCGGCAAUGCUAUUGGGGUGUGUGGGGAUGUUGACUGUGAUUCUGACGAGUGUUGUUUGGGGGAAAGUCUGAGUGUCAAAGUGAGAUUUGACAUAACAAAACCCUUGAGACGAGGUGUGAAGAUCAAUAUUGAUGGUCCUAUGGGUAGCUGUUGGGUUCCAAUCAAGUAUGAGCGUUUACCAGAUUUUUGUUAUUUCUGUGGGAUGAUUGGCCAUCUAGCUAAAACUUGUGAUUCAAAUGUUGAUGAUUCUGAGAAAGUGAAAGCAGAAUAUUUGCAGUAUGGGGCUUGGCUUCGUUUUCAAGGGCAGGGGAAAGAAGGUCUAUCUAAGCCGCGAAAGCGGGAAUCCUUUUCAGACCGUUCCUCCAAGCAAAGUCUGUACAUCAACCACCGGCUCAUGAGGUGGCUGAAGGAGUUUCCAAGGAGGUGCCGGCAAACCAAGCGGCAGAGCCAGUUGGCAGAAUUCUGGAUUUGGGGAAAACGUUACAAAGAACGGAGUUAUUAAUGGUCUUAAUUGCUUGUCGAUGAAUUUUCAGAGUGAACCAUGAUCUUUCCAAAUAAAUGCUCCUUCAAAGCAGGUUUCCUUGGCACGGGAUUCACUCUCCAAUGAAGGAGGUGCUACAAAUAAGGAGUUAUUUGAGGCAACAAUUAAUGAGGGGCCAGGUGGAUCAAAUGAGAUAACUCGUUCAGUUGGGGAUGAUUUGGGCCUGAAGCUUGGGGGUCUUUCGCAGCCCACUUCUGUUAGAAACUGGAAAAGACUGGCCCGUGAGAAGGCUUUGGCCUCCUCAUUGUCAACGGUCGUGGGACAGAAACGAAAGAAGACUGUCACGAAGGAUGUAGCAUCGGUGGCAGCUGUUAUACAGCCCUGUCGGGAGCCAUGAAAAUCCUCUGCUGGAACGUCCGCGGGUUGGGGAACUCCAAGACGUUCUGUUUCUGUGAUGUAAGUGACAUUUCUGAAACUAAGUGUAAUGGUAGUCUCUUGAAUAAAUUAAAAGUACGUUUGUCUUUUGAAGGAUGUUUUGUAGUUGACAGUAAUGGUAAGAGCAUGGAUUUGUGCCUUUUAUGGAAGAAUGAAGUAUGUGUUCACAUUCGCUCUUACUCUCGAUUUCACAUUUCCCGGAAUCAGAGAGUUUUUCGAUUUUCUGGUAUCUAUGGGAAUCCAAAAACUCACAAAAGGAUUCACACUUGGGAGUUAAUUCGUUGUCUCCACAAUUCAUAUGAUUCCGCCUGGUUAAUUGGGGGGAUCUUAAUGCUAUUUUGUGGGAUGAUAAGAAAGCUGGGUGUACGUCAAAAAAGAGUAUGGUUGAUUCUUUUAGAGAGGUUGUGGAUGAUUAUUGUUUACAAGACCUCGGUUAUCACGGGUCUGUUUUUACUUGGCGCAACCUUAGGAAGGCUCGUGCCCAAAUCCAGAAGAGAUUAGAUCGAUUUUUGGGCAAUUGAGCUUUCAUUGCUUUGUGGCACGGCCUUCAAGUGUCCCAUUCUGAUUGGUCAAAAUCGGACCACCAUCCUAUUAUUUUGGAAGUGCGGGACAGUUUUUGGCAGAUUCAUAGGGGGCAGAUAUUGUUUAAAUUUGAGAAGGCUUGGACAAAAUAUGCAGAGUGUGAGUCGGUUAUAGAUUGAUACAGGAAGCUGGAAUCUAGAAGCUAGUCUUGAUAGGUGUUCUAAGGCUCUUAAGCAAUGGGGCAGUCGAAUUAAUGAGGGCUUCAAGAAUCAGAUUAAAAAGCUACACCAGGCAGUGGCUGACAUUUACUCUCACCCUCCUUCGUAGGAUUGUGAUACAAUUCACAAGCUGAAAGGUGAUAUGGAUGACUUACUUGAAACAGAGGAAAUUUAUUGGAAGCAACGCUCCCGUGAGAAUUGCCUACAGUGGGGUGACAGAAACACUAAAUGGUUCCACAAACGUACCUCUAUGCGUAGGCAACAGAACAUGAUUAGAGGGAUUGUGAUUGAUCGGAACAUUUGGACCGAGGAUUCGAGGUUAGUGGAGAAUGAGUUUAUUUCUUAUUUUAACGAAAUAUUUAAAUCCACGCAACCUCAGAUGGGGGACAUGAACAAAAUUCUUCGAAAUGUAAAGCGUUCAUUAACAGAUCAGAUGAAUGCUUAGUUGUGUGCUCCUUUUGGUCGGGUUGAAAUUGAGAAGGUGCUGAAGCAAAUGCUUCCUAUGAAAGUCCCAGGUCCGGACGGAUUUUCUGCUCUUUUUUAUCAGGAAUACUAGAAGACUAUUGGUGACAAAACAGUUGCUAAUUACCUAGCCUUGCUAAAUGGUGAGCGAUCUAUAAAGCCCUGGAACUCAACUCAUAUUGCUCUUAUUCCUAAGGUAACUAAGCCUAGGUGCAUCUGUGGUUAUCGACCUAUAAGCCUAUGUAAUGUAUCUUAUAAGAUAGUUACUAAAGUUCUUUCUAACCGGCUAAAGGUAGUCCUAGACAAAAUUAUUUCUGAAUUUCAGUCAGCUUUCUUACCUGGACGUGCAAUUACUGAUAAUAUUAAUGUUGGCCAUGAGUGUAUUCAUUUUAUGAAAAGUAAACGAAAAGGCAGGGAGGGUUUUGCAGCUUUGAAGCUGGAUCUGCGUAAAGCUUACAACACAGUUGAAUGGAUCUUCAUUGACCAGAUUAUGCUGAAAAUGGGUUUUGACAGGAAGUGGGUGGACAUCAUUAUGGACUGUAUCUCUACUCCUUCUUUCUCAGUGUUGAUUAAUGGAGUCCCGAAAGGGAAUAUUAUUCCUCAACGAGGGUUACGCCAAGGAGAUCCUUUUUCGCCAUAUUUAUUUCUCAUUUGCGCAGAGGGGCUUUCAGCUACUAUUAAAUGCGCAUGAUGUCCAGAGAAUUUCAGGUAUCUCGAUCACCCCUAAUAGUCCAAGCAUUUCUCAUCUUUUCUUUGCAUAUGAUAGCCUUGUUUUCUGUAAAGCUGACAUUACUGAGUUGUAUACGAUCAAGAUGAUUUUGUGCGAGUAUGAAAGGGGUUCUGGUCAACAAAUUAACUUUGAAAAGUCCGUUCUUUGGCUCUUACCAAAUGUGAAAGAAGAUUUCAAGAGCUAUUUAAAAUCCUUGAUGGGAAUGACUCUUGUCCCCCAUUUAGGUGACUACUUAGGGCUACCAGCGAUGCUUUCAAAGAGUAAGAGUAAAGAUUUUUGUUUCCUUAAAGAUAGAAUCUGGCGUGCUAUCAAAGGGUGGAAAGAAAGCUUCUUUUCUUGUGGGGGGAAGGAGGUUUUGCUUAAAAGUGUAACACAAGCAAUUCCUACAUAUGCCAUGAGCUGUUUCCAUUUUCACAAUACUUUUUGUGCCAAAAUGACUACAACAUUGGCGAGAUUUUGGUGGGGUUCAACUCAAUCCAGAAGGAGAAUCCACUAGAUGAGCUGGGAUAGAAUGUGCAGACUAAAAGAGGUUGGCGGGCUUAAUUUUCGGGAUCUAGAGUUGUUCAACAAGGCUUUUCUGGCCAAGCAACUUUGGCAUUUUAUUAAGUUCCCAUCUCUCUUGGUUUCACGGGUCAUUAAAGGGAUUUACUUGGUCAUGGGCUGCGGAAAGUGGUUGGGGAUAGCACUGAUAUUGAUUUUUUUAUGGAUGCUUGGGUCCCCAGAGAGAG